rnacentral:rRNA from 1 species
CCUACGGGAGGCAGCAGUAAGGAAUAUUGGUCAAUGGACGCAAGUCUGAACCAGCCAUGCCGCGUGGAGGAUGAAGGUCCUCUGGAUUGUAAACUUCUUUUAUAUGGGACGAAAAAGGGCCUUUCUAGGUCAACUGACGGUACCAUGUGAAUAAGCACCGG